GACGAACGCUGGCGGCGUGCCUAAUACAUGCAAGUCGAGCGGAGUUAUUUUGAAAGCUUGCUUUCAAAAUAACUUAGCGGCGGACGGGUGAGUAACACGUAGGCAACCUGCCCUUCAGACUGGGAUAACUACCGGAAACGGUAGCUAAUACCGGAUAAUUUCUUUUUUCUCCUGAGAGAAGAAUGAAAGACGGAGCAAUCUGUCGCUGAGGGAUGGGCCUGCGGCGCAUUAGCUAGUUGGUGGGGUAACGGCCCACCAAGGCGACGAUGCGUAGCCGACCUGAGAGGGUGAACGGCCACACUGGGACUGAGACACGGCCCAGACUCCUACGGGAGGCAGCAGUAGGGAAUCUUCCGCAAUGGGCGAAAGCCUGACGGAGCAACGCCGCGUGAGUGAUGAAGGUUUUCGGAUCGUAAAGCUCUGUUGCCAGGGAAGAACGUCCGGUAGAGUAACUGCUAUCGGAGUGACGGUACCUGAGAAGAAAGCCCCGGCUAACUACGUG
rnacentral:rRNA from 1 species